UACGGAGGGUGCAAGCGUUAUCCGGAUUCACUGGGUUUAAAGGGUGCGUAGGAGGGCAGGGAAGUCCGUGGUGAAAUCCUAGAGCUUAACUCUAAGCAACUGCCGUGGAUACUCUCUGUCUUGAAUCCCGUGGAGAUGAGCGGAAUAUGUCAUGUAGCGGUGAAAUGCUUAGAUAUGACAUAGAACACCAAUUGCGAAGGCAGCAUC
rnacentral:rRNA from 1 species